rnacentral:rRNA from 1 species
CUACGGGAGGCAGCAGUAGGGAAUAUUGCACAAUGGGCGAAAGCCUGAUGCAGCAACGCCGCGUGUGCGAAGAAGGCCUUCGGGUCGUAAAGCACUUUUCUGAGAGAUGAGAAAGGACAGUAUCUCAGGAAUAAGUCUCGGCUAACUACGUGCCAGCAGCCGCGGUAAAACGUAGGAGGCAAGCGUUAUCCGGAUUCACUGGGCGUAAAGCGCGCGCAGGCGGUUCGGUAAGUUGGGCGUGAAAUCUCCUGGCUUAACUAGGAGAGGCCGUCCAAUACUACCGGGCUAGAGAGCAGUAGAGGAAGAUGGAAUUCCCGGUGUAGUGGUGAAAUGCGUAGAUAUCGGGAGGAACACCAGUGGCGAAAGCGAUCUUCUGGACUGUUUCUGACGCUCAUGCGCGAAAGCUAGGGUAGUAAACGGGAUUAGAUACCCCGGU